rnacentral:lncRNA from 1 species
CAAAUUGUAAUAUUACAUUUAACAGUUGUCUAGUAUUCACCAUGAGGUUUCAUGUGCAGCCAGUAUUUGGGCAUUAAUCACAUCCCAACAUCAAUAUUCUAAUGCUACUAUAAAUCAUGCAAAGCUUCUUUCCAACAUUAAAUUUCAAUUAGUUUUGUUCUGAACCCAAUAACCAAAUGCACCAAAAAGAUCCAAAUCUCAAGCAAGAUUUCCCCUUUUUUAUCAAGCCCGCAACUUCAUGCAAAAUCCAUUUGGAUUUUAUACUUGAGAACAUAAAAUCAGUGAAGCCAUCUGCUGAAAUUACUUCUUCUACCAAUUUUUCAAAAGCAUCAUUGAAGGCAUUAUUGCAAUGAUCUUGACUUCAUGAAAAUUUGUUUUCUCAAUAAUCUGCACUUAACAACUCAAUUAACGCCAAUUGUUGAUGAAUUGGUUGUUAGGGAGACAAAUUAACUGGCCACUGAAGACCUUCGUUGAGAUUGGCAUAACUUGAAAACACUAAAAUCAAGAAAAACACAUACACCGAAAAUCAUCUCUCAUCAACAACUUAGAACCUUUCCCUGUUUCAAGAAACCAUUCAAGUAUCGAAUUCCAUAGCGAGGAAACAUUGUUAGUUUAAGUAUGCAAAACUUAACAUAAAGCAAAAAAGAAGUGAGUAGAAAUUAAGGACAAACCCUUAUGAUCUCUUUCCCUACAGCUUAUGAUGGCUGCUUUUGAUCGAAAUCAAUGAAAAAGUUGCUAUUUUAUUUGAAUACAAAAACAACAGUAAAAUUCAUUUAUUUUAUGUGUGAAUUAAUCAUGUGAUUUAAUCCGAAUUCAAUCCAAACAUUUUCUAGACAUGAACACAUAAUUUAGUUACAGUUUACAACAACAAAGAUCCAGAAAUCAUGAUCAAAAUGUGAAUUAUUGGUGAUUUUUCUAUUGCAAAAAUGGCAAUGCAGAAAACUUUAUGCUGACAAUGUAAAAGACAAUGGCAUUAGGCUUAAAGAUUAAAUUAGACAUUAAUUUUAGGCUUAAAGAUCAUGGAAAUGUAAAAGACCAUGACAAUGCAUUCAAUUAAAGACUUUCAUAAAAUCAGAAAAGUAAAAAUGAAAAUUUAUGCAUCAUUAUGUUCAUCAAUUAUUUUGAUAUUCUGGAAUUUAAUAGCAAUAUGAUCCAAAUGAAGAACAAAAAAGCCCAAAAAACUAACAAAUCAAUACUAUAUUGUGAGGACUUUAGAGACUUAGUGAUAUUUAAUACUGUUCAUGCAUUUGAUUGGAAAAAUAUAGAUUAUUUCAAUGCAACUACACGUCAGUAUUCUUUAAGAAAGAAUCUAUCCAUUUAUGAAUGUACUAAGAAACUAUGAAAGAAGCUGCUAACUUACUGGAUCUACGAAAAAACAAGGAAAUAUAUGCCCAUUUCAUUGAACGUAACUAUAUAUAUCGAGAGAGCAAUGAUCCAAUGCAACGGUUGUAUCAUAGUAUAAUGCAACAACACUUCUAGAAAGCCAUGUUUGUGGUAUUUGUAAGACCUCAAAUUUUGCACACACUCUCUCUUCAUCUUAAUACUCAUCUCCCAAAAAGCAAAAGUUGAAUUUGAAUCCUAGUUAUCGUUAAAAUGAGUCCCCUCCAAAAAUAAAUCUAGACCAUUUAUUUUGUGAAUUUCAAGAUAUUAGCCUUUAUAAACUCAAAAUCAUUUUUUUUAUUUUUUAAAAUUGUUCAUCUAAUGAUAAUAAAACCAUCCAAAAAAAUUAGAAAUGAAAAAAAUCAUUCUAAGGUCUAAAUCUAAGCAUCUCACCAAAAUGAAUGGCCUAUGUUAAUUGGGCUAAAAAAAUAUUUUCUACGUUGUGUUUUCAAAUUUUUCUUUUUUUGUGAUUGUUCAUUAGAAUGAAAAGAGUGUAUAUUUCAAAAUUUGGAUCAAACAAAUGGCCAUAAAAUGAUUUUUUAAAGUUGUUACAUCAUAUUACUAUACAAUGGUUGCAUCAAAUCAUUGCUUUUGUAUAUAUAUAUAUAUAUUUCUCUCUCUCCAGCAAAUGGAAAAAUUAUCUAAUCAAAGAAACAAAAAACCUAAGAAGCUCAAAUAACAAGUAAUCAUAAAUUAGCACAUGUAAUUUUAAUUUUAGAGAAUACAAUUUAUUUUUUUAAAAAACUGGAUAUUUUUUAAAACUCAAAAAGACUCAAUAAAUCUACAGUCUAAAAAAUCCAAUGCCUGAUUUGAAAUGGGGAUUGGUUUUCUUUUGAUUGUUAGGGCCAUCCUGUUUGGGAUGGAGAUGGAGAGAGGGUUUCAACUUUGGUUGGGAUUGAGAUGGGGAGAGGGUUUCACCUUUAAUUGGGAUUGAGAUAAAGGGUGGGAUGGAGCCCUUUUUUAUUUGUAAGUAUGGAAAGCUCUUCAAGCUUCAUAGAUCCAUUGAUCGAUUGACUGAUUUUUUGCAUCUUCAAACAAGAAGAGCCAUUUGCAAAAAUCAUUGAGCUUGCAUCUUGCUACUCCCCACAAGUGAAAAAAAUAGGAAAUGAGAGAGAGAGAGAGAGAAAGAGAGAGGCGGACUCAACCAAAAAGAGCCUUCGAUGAUCAUAGACAGAGCGGCUCUAAUGGCCGCAGAGAGAGAAAGCAGAUAGAAGCAGGAGUGGUAGGCUCUAACGGUCACAGAGAGAAGCGGGAAUGAGGGAGAUGGAGAGAUUUGGAGUUAAAGCAGGAAUAAGGGAGGAGAUGGAGAGAUUUGAGGAGAUUUGGA